CUUAGAAAUACUAGAAAUGACUGGAGAUGAUGCAUCUAUAGGAAUAUGAUGCAUUUUAUUCUCAACAUGUUAGCCUUGUCCCUCUUCACCCUGAGAUGUUCACAAAUAUCUGUAUUUGUGGGACAGGCCAUUUUCUCUCAUAUAAAUUAUUAUUCUGAAUCAGGGCAGAAUCUGUAAGCCUGGGAUUCAGUUUUGAAAUAAAAUGUUUACUCUGAAAAGCUAAAUUCGUCCAUAGAAACACACUUUCUAUAUGAAAGCCUUUGGACUCAUCCUGUGCAGAUUCCAGUUCACUCUGAAAGUUCUGUGAUGAAUCGUCUCCAUGGUAAUGUGAUGAUAUACAUUCUGUAUUCUGUACCAACUGCCAUUUUGUGAGUUGAAAGAUUUGCAAAAGUGAGAAGACCUCAUCUUCAACCUUAAGUGUUUUAAAAUGGGCAACUUGAAUUUCUGUUCUGGAGGAUGUUUUGUCUGGAAGACCAGAAGAGACACUCCUCAGAAUCCAAGAACAUUAACAACUAGCUGGGUCAAGAGAGUUCAUUGCUGGCCACGCAAUAGGGUGCACCCUAUAAAUGACUCAGUUGAAGAGCUCUCUGAGGAUGAGCUGUCCACCUCAAACUUGGAGGAAGAGGCCCUGCCCACCGGUGUGGUGAAAGAAACAACCAACAAAAAUGUGCCCCAGGAGGACCUGGUGGAGGAACUGCCCCAGGGCGGCGAGGAGGAAGAGCCUCUGAGUAUUUUGAAGGCACACGGAGUAGUCUACGAACAUGAUUUCACUGAGGACCUGACAGUCAACCCAGCUUGUGACAGGAUAGAAGAGACUCCAUGUAACUCCAAGGUGGCCUUUUCAAUAUGUGAAACUGACUGCUUCUUGGAGAGCUUUAGCAGCAGUGAUACAGACGAUAAUGCAGACUCUCCACAUGACAGCUGCCCUCAGACACCAGAAAAAUGCAUGGAAUACAAUAAAGAUUCAGAGACGGAGAUUUCGGAAAACUCUUUGCUUGUUUACUGGAGGAAUGUUUUGGGGGAUAUCAAAGAUAAUAAAGAAGACUAAGUAAAGCAAGAAUGAACAUGGGACCUGGGGUGAAAAGGCUCUGCUCUGAAUCCAUGAAGACCUGGACCUGGACACCAUCCUGGAUCCCAGAGGGGAUAGAGCCCCCACAGAACCAAGAGCCUCAUCUGGACCAGAUCAAAGGAGGCCUCCCUGCUUCUCUCCUGAGGGCCCUCAUUUAGUACAGCUUCAGUUGUUUUGUUGUAUAGAUUUAGUAUUAGUUUUAUCUAUAUGUUGUGCAUUUAUCUGUAUGUUCAAUAUUUAUAUGA
ensembl:lincRNA